ACAGAUCGUUCAGAGUUUGAUCCUGGCUCAGGAUGAACGCUGGCGGCAUGCCUAAGACAUGCAAGUCGAACGAAGUGGCCUCUUGAAAGAUGCGUGCUUGCACAAAUCUGGACGGAGAUUUUCCACUUAGUGGCAGACGGGUGAGUAACACGUGGGUAAUCUACCUCAGAGUUUGGGAUAACGUUUGGAAACGAACGCUAAUACCGAAUGAUUCAUAUUUAGAUAACUAGAUAUGCUAAAAGGAGCUUCGGCUUCGCUUUGAGAUGAGCUUGCGGUGUAUUAGCUAGUUGGUGAGGUAAUGGCUCACCAAGGCAACGAUGCAUAGCCGAGCUGAGAGGCUGAUCGGCCACAUUGGAACUGAGAUACGGUCCAA
rnacentral:rRNA from 1 species